AAAACUUCGCAAUGGGGGCAACCCCGACGAGGGAAUUCCAAGUGCCAGCACUUUGUGUUGGCUGUUCUCCUGUCUAAAAAACAGGAGGAGUAAGGGGCGGGUAAGACGGGUGCCAGCCGCCGCGGUAAUACCCGCGCCCCUAGUGGUGGUCGAUAUUAUUGAGCCUAAAACGUCCGUAGCCGGUCUUCUAAAUCCUUGGGUAAAUCGGGCAGCUUAACUGUCCGAAGUCCGGGGAGACUGGGAGACUUGGGACCGGGAGAGGUCAGAGGUACUUCUGGGGUAGGGGUAAAAUCCUGUAAUCCUGGAAGGACCACCGGUGGCGAAGGCGUCUGACUAGAACGGAUCCGACGGUGAGGGACGAAGCCCUGGGGCGCAAACGGG
rnacentral:rRNA from 1 species